rnacentral:rRNA from 1 species
GAUGAACGCUGGCGGCGUGCCUAAUACAUGCAAGUCGAGCGAACGGACGAGAAGCUUGCUUUUCUGAUGUUAGCGGCGGACGGGUGAGUAACACGUGGAUAACCUACCUAUAAGACUGGGAUAGCUUCGGGAAACCGGAGCUAAUACCGGAUAAUAUUUUGAACCGCAUGGUUCAAAAGUGAAAGACGGUCUUGCUGUCACUUAUAGAUGGAUCCGCGCUGCAUUAGCUAGUUGGUAAGGUAACGGCUUACCAAGGCAACGAUGCAUAGCCGACCUGAGAGGGUGAUCGGCCACACUGGAACUGAGACACGGUCCAGACUCCUACGGGAGGCAGCAGUAGGGAAUCUUCCGCAAUGGGCGAAAGCCUGACGGAGCAACGCCGCGUGAGUGAUGAAGGUCUUCGGAUCGUAAAACUCUGUUAUUAGGGAAGAACAUAUGUGUAGGUAACUGUGCACAUCUUGACGGUACCUAAUCAGAAAGCCACGGCUAACUACGUG